UUUCGAAGCUUUUACCUUCGCAAUAUCUUGGCAAGUUGUGCUACGCUAACCGGGGUCGCUCUGACUCCUUUAUUUUCUCGGGAAUAUUUUCAAUGCCAACUGGUACAGUUAAAUGGUUCAACGAUGCAAAGGGUUUUGGUUUCAUUACCCCUGACGGCGGAGGGGAGGAUCUGUUCGCGCACUUCUCCGCAAUUCAGGGUAGCGGCUUCAAAUCGCUGAAAGAAGGACAGAAAGUCGAAUUCGAAGUCACGCAAGGCCCGAAGGGCAAGCAGGCUUCGAAUAUCAAGACUCUAUAACGAGACGCUGUUUGUCUGAAGAAGCCCGGUUCGUCCGGGCUUUUUUGU
rnacentral:sRNA from 1 species